rnacentral:rRNA from 1 species
GUCGAGCGNGCCCUUCGGGGUGAGCGGCGGANGGGUUAGUAACGCGUGGGANCGUGCCCAGAUCUAAGGAAUAGCCACUGGAAACGGUGAGUAAUACCUUAUACGCCCUUCGGGGGAAAGAUUUAUCGGAUUUGGAUCGGCCCGCGUUAGAUUAGGUAGUUGGUGGGGUAAUGGCCUACCAAGCCUACGAUCUAUAGCUGGUUUUAGAGGAUGAUCAGCAACACUGGGACUGAGACACGGCCCAGACUCCUACGGGAGGCAGCAGUGGGGAAUCUUGGACAAUGGGGGCAACCCUGAUCCAGCCAUGCCGCGUGAGUGAUGAAGGCCUUAGGGUCGUAAAGCUCUUUCGCCUGUGAUGAUAAUGACAGUAGCAGGUAAAGAAACCCCGGCUAACUCCGUGCCAGCAGCCGCGGUAAUACGGAGGGGGUUAGCGUUGUUCGGAAUUACUGGGCGUAAAGCGCGCGUAGGCGGAUUAGUCAGUUAGAGGUGAAAUCCCAGGGCUCAACCCUGGAACUGCCUUUAAUACUGCUAGUCUUGAGUUCGAGAGAGGUGAGUGGAAUUCCGAGUGUAGAGGUGAAAUUCGUAGAUAUUCGGAGGAACACCAGUGGCGAAGGCGGCUCACUGGCUCGAUACUGACGCUGAGGUGCGAAAGUGUGNNGAGCAAACAGGAUUAGAUACCCUGGUAGUCCACACCGUAAACGAUGAAUGCCAGUCGUCGGCAAGCAUGCNUGUCGGUGACNCACCUAACGGAUUAANCAUUCCGCCUGGGGNGUACGGNCGCAGAUUAANACUCAAAGGAAUNGACGGGGGCCNGCACAA